CCCACCAGCCGCAGAGACUCCUCCGCGCCCCGCGACCCCUGAGGGUUCUAGGGCGCGCUGAUCGCUCGCCCUCGGCAGAGGGGUUGCAGCUGGUGUUCCUUCAGAUGCCGAAGUGACGGGUGACUGCCCUUUGCGAGCGAGUUCUGCCCCUAGAGAAAGCCCCGACACCCUGCGAGGCACGUAGUACCGAGGAGCCGUGUUUGACUGCUCUGGUGUGUUCACCGCCAGGAAGUUCCCUGGAGUCCUUUUCCAGACUCACAACAGAGCCAGCCAUGGUUCUGAUACAUGUCCUCGUAAUUUAGUUUUGUCAGUUCUGCAAUUCCAUAUGCCUCCUUUAGUUCAUCCUCGUUCUGUAAGAUCUAUUAAUGUUGUGUAUUUCUUUCUUUUUAUUUCUGGAAAGCAUUCCAUUGUGCAAAUGUGCCACAAUUUGAUUUUUCAUUUUCUUCUCUAUGAACAUUGAAAUUUCCAGAUUUUAUAUAUUACGAAUAACGCUGGCAUGUUUCCAUUUCUUCUGAGGAAAUACCUAAGAGGAAAAAAUUGUUGCUAAUAGGUUAGGUUUAUAUUUAACUUUUUAAGAAGCUAACAAAUUUGUAGAACGAUUAGUUGUGAUUUGUGUUUGAGAUUGCAUGACUAUCAAGUGGUUUCCGAGUUUGACUUGGUAUUGUUUUAUAGAAUUAUGAGAUGGGUUCAAUGGAGUUAGGAAUGUCACAUAGGGCCCAUUGAGUUGUGGUUUUGUGAAGUGGGUUAGAUUAUUGGACACGGAAUGUGUCUAUACCAAGUCUUAUUUAUCAUGAUUUUGUGUGUUCAUUCCAUGAUGACUGUGAAAGUGGAUCACUGCAUAAGUGAUACUGAUGAAUGACUGAGAAACUCUGUCGGUUUGAUUCUGCUUGCAGAAUUAUGUCUGUUACUGAUCAAGUAAAAUAGCAGUAUUAGAUAUAUCCCAAGGAAAUGAAAACAGGAUGUUAAAGAGGUAUCUGACUCCUGUCUCCACUGCAGCAUUAUUCCCAAUAGCCCAGACAUGGAAACAAGUGUUCACUGACAGAUGAAUGGAUAAAGAAACACUAACAGGGGUUCUGGUUGUGUCUCAGUGGUAAUGAACCCAACUAGGAUCCAUGAGGACGUGUUUGAUCCCUGGCUCCGCUCAGUGGGUUAAGGAUGCUGUGUUGUUGUGAGCUAUGGUGUAGGUAGCAGACAAGGCUCGAAUCUGGCUUGGCUGUGGCUGUGGUGUAGACUGGCAGUGACAGCUCCAAUUUGACCCUUAGCUUGGGAACUUACAUAUGCCACAGGUUCGGCCCUAAAAUAAAAGAAAAAGAAACACGAACACACUGGAGUAUUAUUUGGCCCUAAAGAAAGAAAGAAAUCCUGCCAUUUGUGACAAGAUGGAAGGACACUGAGGUAUUAUGCUAAGUGGAAUAUAUCAGACCGAGAAAGGCAAAUAAUAUGUUCUCACUUGUAUGAGGAAUCUAAACACCACCCAAACUCUUUGAAAUAGAGAGUAGAAUAAUAGUUGUUGCCAGGGGGUGGGAGAAAUGGAGAGAUGUUAGUCAAAGGUGACAGACUUUUAGGUAUAAGAUAAAUAAGUCCUGGGGGGUGUCUAGUCUAUAGCAGGAGUGACUAGUAUUAAUAAUGCUGUUUUUUUAUAUACUUGGAAUUUAAAAGAUUAGAUCUUAAAUCUUAUCCACAAGCAAAAAAGGCUAAUUUUGCGAGGGGAGAGAGGUGUUAACUAACUUUAUUAUGGUGAUCUUUUGGCUAUAUAUAUAUAUAUAUAUCAAAUAGUCACAUAGUACACCUUAAAAUUAUAUAUGUUACUCAAAAAAGAAGACAGUAAGAGCUGAAAUUACAAUUUCUUUCUUUCUUUCUUUUCAAUGGCCACACCAGUGGCACAUGGAAGUUCCCAGGCCAGGGAUUGAUUCUGAGCCUCAGCUACGGCAAUGCUGGAUCCUUUAACCCACUGAGUUGGGUCAGGGAUGGAACCUGCCCUUCGCACCAACCUGAGCUGCUGCAGUCAGGUUUUUAACCCACUGUUAUCACAGCAGGAACUCCUAAAAUUAUAAUUUCUGGAUUACUGAAUUGCAUACUUGGAACACAAUCUAAACUAAUUCUAAUAUGUUGAAAUAACUAGAGUUCAAUAGGUAGUACACCAGAAAAAUACUUUUUUACCUCUGUGUACUACUUUUAACAGAUCUGAAUGAGGUUUUCUGGAAAUUAUGGGUGAUUUAAUAACUUUUUCAGUUACUCUUAGCUAAGGAAAAGUAUCUGAAAUUCUUUGAAUCACAAGGUCGGUCUCAGUAAUUAAAAGUCAUUUUCUUUCUUUCUUUCUUUCUUUCUUUGUCUUUUUAGGGCAGUACCCAUGUCAUGUGGAAGUUCCCAGGCUAAAGGUCCAAUCAGAGCUGCAGCUGCCAGCCUACACCACAGCUCACAGCAAUAUAGGAUCCUUAACCCACUUAGCAAGGUCAGGGAUUUAACCCACAUCGUCGCGGAUACUAGUCGGGUUUGUUACCCCUGAGCCAACAGAGUUACAACAGAAACUACUAAAAGUCAUUUUCUAAUAAAAAUAUUUAUUGUAAAAAUAAAUAUUUAAAUUUCAUGUAAAGGAAAAAUUUCUUCCAUCUGACUGUAGCCUCUAGUGUGGAAAAGUCUCUUUUAUUUCCCUAACCUGUAUUAUAGAAUGGUUAAUAUUUAGCAUGAUAAAUAUUAAUGUUUAAUAAUAACUGCUUACUAUUAACUAGGCAGAUUUAAUCAUGUCGUUAUGGAAACCCUAAGGUAUAUGAGGUUUCACAUCACAUGGUUUCUUUUUUUUUUUUUAGGGCCACACCUGCAGCAUAUGAAAGUUCCCAGGCUAGGGGUCGAAUCGGAGCUGCAGCUGCCAGCCUACACCAUGGCCACAAUCACAUGGUUUCUUAUGCCUCGCUUCUUUCUCCCUUGUUCAUUUUUCUAAAAAGCAUCCUAAAGAGCAAAGGUCCUUUCCUGAAAAUCAUAAAGCCAUGGCUCAGGUGAGAUGAUGUUCUUCUCUCCUUUCGAAAUAAUCUUUUUCUCCUAGCAUAUCCGAGCAUUUUCCCAUCUUGAAACAUCCUGGAGAUAGGAUUCCCUUAAGGAUAACCUUGCCUUAUCCAUGUUCACUUAUUCAUUGCAUAUUUCACUUAGCAUCUCCUUUCUCAUGCCCCACAGAUGGAAAUACAUUCUCCUGAAUUAAGUAAGCAUAUAUUUCCUGAAUGAACCUUUCUUGUCUAGACAGUGAUUUAAUGUCUAAGCAGUGAGUGCUUAGAAAAGCCCACACAUAGGAAAGCCUUCAUUAUGUCCACACGCCUUGGUUUUCUCGUGAGUAAAGGUGGAUGUGCAAAGAAUAGAUUAUAAUAUUAAUAUACAGCAAGAAGGGAGGUCCCCGUGUUACACCGUGUCUUUUCCCCUCCAGCUCACCUUUAUGGAUCAUGUUUCUCCAUCUCUCAGCCCAGGAGUGCUCUGUCCCAUUUACCUGUCUCCUUUCUGUAGCGUGGAAGUUAUCUAUGGCUGAAAGAACAGAUAGGAAAGCCUGCUUUCUAUAUACAGUAAAGGACUGGAGAAGAGAGGGGACAAGAGGAGCAGACCCAUGACGACAGGAGCCUAGGAAUAGAGCAAGCCUUCAGACUCAGUAAAAUUAGAAAUGGCACCCUAAGCCUUCCUUUGGUCAUUAAUUCAAUACUGUUUACUCUUUUUGUUUGUUUGUUUGUUUGUAGGGCUGUAGGUGUGGCAUAUGGAAGUUCCCAGGCUAGAGGUCAAAUUGGAGCUACAGCUGCUGGCCUAUGCCACAGCCACAGCCACGCCAGAUCAGAGCUGCAGCUGUGACCUACACCAAAGCUCACAGCAAUGCCAGAUAGUUAAUCCACUGAGCAGAGCCAGGGAUUGAACUCAUAUCCUCAUGGAUACUAGUCAGGUUCAUAACCCACUAAUAACCCACUAAGCCACAAUGAGAACUCCUCAACACUAGGCACUCUCUUCUCCACUCCUCCCUUACUGGAGCUGCAGGUGCCAGCCUACCUCACAGCCAUAGCAAUGCCAGAUCUGAGCCAUGUUUGCAACCUCCACCUCAGCUCAUGGCCAUGGCAGAUCCUUUACCCACUGAGAGAGGCCAGGGAUCGAACCCACAUCCUCAUGGAUACUAGUAGGGUUCAUAACCCGCUGAGCCACAAUGGGAACUCCCAAGAAGUUUAAUUUUUAAUUAAAAAAAUUUCUAAAUAGAGAACCUGGUUGAAUUCUGCAGGAAAUAAAAUUGAUCAACACUGUUUUAGAAAUUCUUUCAACCCAGGGUGCAUGACAUUCAGGUGAAUAAACAACAACCUCUUCUGGUGAAUAAACAACUUCUUCCCCACUGAAAUGAACUCUGAAACAAAAACUACAAAUCAACAAGGGAAAAGCCAUCUUGGAAGAGUCAGCACGUAAAGAAAUAAGAAAGUUGGUGGUAGGUGGGGAAACUGGGUAAAGAUGGUCAAAAGGUACAAACAAGAGAGACACACCACAAAAGUUACCAUAACUGUAGUUAACAGUGCUGUGCAGCAUGUGUGAAAGUUGCUAAGAGAAUAAAUCCUAAAAUUUCUCAUCACAAGGGGAAAAAUCUCCUUUGUAACUAUGUGAGGUGACAUAUAACUUACUGUGGUGCUCAUUUCACAACAUAUACAACUGUCAGGUGAUUAUGUUGUGCACCUUAAGCUUUUAUAAUGGGUGAGGGGUUGGGGGAGAAAGUUGGCACCUACAAGAACUGCCUAUAAUAUGACAACAUAAAAGAAUAUGAAAUAAAUGUUUAAAAUGGAAAAACAACAAAAGCACAAUACAUAAAAAAAAGAAUU